rnacentral:rRNA from 1 species
UAGAUUUAAUUAAAUGUAUAUUCUGCCCUAUGAUUUUUAAAUGGCUGCAGUAUAUUGACUGUGCAAAGGUAGCAUAAUAAUUAGUCCCUUAAUUAGGGACUUGUAUGAAUGAAUGAAUGAGAGAUUGCUUUUAUUAUUUUUAUUAUUAUAAUUUAAUAUUUUGGUAAUAAAUCCUAAUUGUUAUAUAGGGACGAGAAGACCCUAUAGAAUUUUAAAUAAGUUUAUUUUUAAGUAUAAUUAGUUUAGCUAUGGUUUUAUUAUUUAGUUUAUUUUUUAUUGGGGUGAUAAAUAAAUUAUGACUUUAUUUUUUCUAUUCAUUAAUUUAUGUAUUUUUGUUCCUUUUCUUAUGAUUAUAAGA